GCAGGGAUAGCUCAAUUGGGAGAGCGUCAGACUGAAAAUUUGAAAGUUGCGUGUUCGAUUCACGCUUACUGCA